GUAAAACAUUGUCAAGUUAAUUCCGUUGAUAUUUGCUCAGUUUUUGUUUUCUGGUCGCCUUUUCCAGAAGGUAUCCAAUCUUAUAAACAUCAAGAAUAAAGAGGAAAAUAAUCAUUUCCAAAAGCGAAAUUGCAUUUGGGUUCAGUAAUAAGGAAGAAUACUGCAAGUCCAUGUGUUAGAGGAGCAACAAUAAACUACAGAAGGCAUCGGAACGAAGGAUAAUAUCUAUAAUGCCAAAAAUCAAAACGAUACGUAAGACGUCGAAAAGUGCUCUCGAACAGUCCCGAUAUAUCAACAACAGAUGUCGUCGUAGAAAUGGCUUGUCUCACAAAGAAAACCUACCAUUGACGUUUUGUAGUCCUAAGCAACAUUUCUCAACUUUAAAAAC